rnacentral:rRNA from 1 species
AUGUCGUCGUCGGCGGCGCACCAGAAGGCGGCCGCGGCGGCUCCCGUCGAGGAGGAGGCCGGGGAGCACGGGCCUUUCCCCAUCGAGCAACUCCAGGCAUCUGGAAUAGCUGCAGUUGAUGUGAAAAAGCUCAAAGAUGCUGGUCUUUGCACAGUGGAGUCUGUAGCUUACUCUCCAAGGAAAGAUCUUUUGCAAAUUAAAGGGAUUAGUGAAGCCAAAGUCGAUAAGAUAAUUGAAGCAGCUUCGAAGUUGGUUCCACUGGGAUUUACUAGUGCUACCCAACUUCAUGCGCAGAGGCUCGAGAUUAUCCAAGUUACAACAGGAUCAAGAGAACUUGAUAAAAUAUUGGAGGGAGGAAUAGAAACAGGAUCUAUCACGGAGCUUUAUGGUGAAUUUAGGUCUGGAAAGACUCAGUUGUGCCAUACUCUCUGUGUCACAUGUCAGCUCCCACUGGACCAAGGUGGUGGUGAAGGAAAGGCUCUUUAUAUUGACGCAGAAGGCACAUUCAGACCACAAAGACUCCUCCAGAUAGCAGACAGGUUUGGACUGAAUGGUGCUGAUGUACUUGAGAAUGUAGCUUAUGCUAGAGCAUAUAAUACUGAUCAUCAAUCAAGACUUCUGCUGGAAGCAGCUUCCAUGAUGGUGGAGACAAGGUUUGCGCUUAUGGUUAUAGAUAGUGCCACAGCCUUAUACAGAACUGACUUCUCUGGUAGAGGGGAGCUAUCAGCAAGGCAAAUGCAUCUGGCCAAGUUUCUCAGGAGCCUUCAGAAAUUAGCGGAUGAGUUCGGGGUGGCAGUGGUAAUCUCCAACCAGGUAGUGGCCCAAGUGGAUGGCGGUGCAAUGUUUGCUGGGCCACAGAUCAAACCCAUUGGAGGGAACAUCAUGGCUCAUGCUUCCACGACGAGGCUUUAUCUCCGUAAGGGAAGGGCGGAGGAGCGGAUCUGUAAGGUGGUGAGCUCUCCCUGCCUGGCUGAAGCUGAAGCAAGGUUUCAGAUAUCACCUGAAGGCGUCACAGAUGUUAAGGAUUGA